rnacentral:rRNA from 1 species
GAUGAACGCUGGCGGCGUGCCUAAUACAUGCAAGUCGAGCGAACGGACGAGAAGCUUGCUUCUCUGAUGUUAGCGGCGGACGGGUGAGUAACACGUGGAUAACCUACCUAUAAGGCUGGGAUAACUUCGGGAAACCGGAGCUAAUACCGGAUAAUAUUUUGAACCGCAUGGUUCAAAAGUGAAAGACGGUCUUGCAGUCACUUAUAGAUGGAUCCGCGCUGCAUUAGCUAGUUGGUAAGGUAACGGCUUACCAAGGCAACGAUGCAUAGCCGACCUGAGAGGGUGAUCGGCCACACUGGAACUGAGACACGGUCCAGACUCCUACGGGAGGCAGCAGUAGGGAACCUUCCGCAAUGGGCGAAAGCCUGACGGAGCAACGCCGCGUGAGUGAUGAAGGUCUUCGGAUCGUAAAACUCUGUUAUUAGGGAAGAACAUAUGUGUAAGUAACUGUGCACAUCUUGACGGUACCUAAUCAGAAAGCCACGGCUAACUACGUGCCAGCAGCCGCGGUAAUACGUAGGUGGCAAGCGUUAUCCGGAAUUAUUGGGCGUAAAGCGCGCGUAGGCGGUUUUUUAAGUCUGAUGUGAAAGCCCACGGCUCAACCGUGGAGGGUCAUUGGAAACUGGAAAACUUGAGUGCAGAAGAGGAAAGUGGAAUUCCAUGUGUAGCGGUGAAAUGCGCAGAGAUAUGGAGGAACACCAGUGGCGAAGGCGACUUUCUGGUCUGUAACUGACGCUGAUGUGCGAAAGCGUGGGGAUCAAACAGGAUUAGAUACCCUGGUAGUCCACGCCGUAAACGAUGAGUGCUAAGUGUUAGGGGGUUUCCGCCCCUUAGUGCUGCAGCUAACGCAUUGAGCACUCCGCCUGGGGAGUACGACCGCAAGGUUGAAACUCAAAGGAAUUGACGGGGACCCGCACAAGCGGUGGAGCAUGUGGUUUAAUUCGAAGCAACGCGAAGAACCUUACCAAAUCUUGACAUCCUUUGACAACUCUAGAGAUAGAGCCUUCCCCUUCGGGGGACAAAGUGACAGGUGGUGCAUGGUUGUCGUCAGCUCGUGUCGUGAGAUGUUGGGUUAAGUCCCGCAACGAGCGCAACCCUUAAGCUUAGUUGCCAUCAUUAAGUUGGGCACUCUAAGUUGACUGCCGGUGACAAACCGGAGGAAGGUGGGGAUGACGUCAAAUCAUCAUGCCCCUUAUGAUUUGGGCUACACACGUGCUACAAUGGACAAUACAAAGGGCAGCGAAACCGCGAGGUCAAGCAAAUCCCAUAAAGUUGUUCUCAGUUCGGAUUGUAGUCUGCAACUCGACUACAUGAAGCUGGAAUCGCUAGUAAUCGUAGAUCAGCAUGCUACGGUGAAUACGUUCCCGGGUCU